rnacentral:rRNA from 1 species
UACAGAGGGUGCAAGCGUUAAUCGGAAUUACUGGGCGUAAAGGGCUUGUAGGUGGCCAACUAAGUCAGACGUGAAAUCCCUCGGCUUAACCGGGGAACUGCGUCUGAUACUGGAUGGCUUGAGUGUGGGAGAGGGAUGCGGAAUUCCAGGUGUAGCGGUGAAAUGCGUAGAUAUCUGGAGGAACACCGGUGGCGAAGGCGGCAUCCUGGACCAUUACUGACACUGAAAAGCGAAAGCCAGGGGAGCAAACGGG